CCUACGGGAGACAGCAGUGAGGAAUAUUGGUCAAUGGGAGGAAUCCUGAACCAGCCAUGCCGCGUGCAGGACGACGGCUCUACGAGUUGUAAACUGCUUUUGUACCGGGGUAAAAUGCUCUACGUGUAGGGUUUUGAACGUACGUUACGAAUAAGGAUCGGCUAACUCCGUGCCAGCAGCCGCGGUAAUACGGGGGAUCCGAGCGUUAGCCGGAUUUAUUGGGUUUAAGGGGUGGGUGGGCGGGCUGUUAAGUCAGCGGUAAAAUGUCGGGGCUCAACCCCGGCCUGCCGUUGAAACUGGCGGCCUCGAGUGGGCGAGAGGUAUGCGGAAUGCGUGGUGUAGCGGUGAAAUGCAUAGAUAUCACGCAGAACUCCGAUUGCGAAGGCAGCAUACCGGAGCCCAACUGACGCUGAGGCACGAAAGCGUGGGUAUCGAACAGGAUUAGAUACCCCAGUAGUC
rnacentral:rRNA from 1 species